rnacentral:misc_RNA from 1 species
GCAAACUUGGUCAUUUAGAGGAAGUAAAAGUCGUAACAAGGUUUCCGUAGGUGAACCUGCGGAAGGAUCAUUAUUGAAUUUAAACUUUGGCUGGGUUGCUGCUGGCUUUCCGAAGCAUGUGCACACCCAGUCCAAAAUUUAAAAACCCCUUGUGCACUCUCUGUAGACCUGAGUUUGAACUUCGACUGUGCUCCUUCCAGGUGCAGUCGGUCUGAGAACUGUUGUGCGAAAGCCAGCUUUUCUUGCGUUUUCAGGUCUACGUCUUCUUACACACACUUUUGCAGAAUGUAUUUGAAUGCUGUUUUUGGGCCAUCGUGCCUUUAAAUUUUAAUACAACUUUCAACAACGGAUCUCUUGGCUCUCGCAUCGAUGAAGAACGCAGC